UCUGCAAGAUUCCCUCAGAAUCGAUUGGAAAACAGUAACUGUGGGUGCCAGGGAAGCUGUACUCACCAGCGCCUCUCACUCCACUUGCAGUCAACCAGUGGCCCAGGCCAGACCAACCGCCAUCUUCCACCGUCUUCGACUUCAGUAGGAAGAAGGUCAUGUCAGAACUCCAGGACCCACAGCCACUAACAAGAAAUCUCCUGAACUAUUAGUUCAGACUCCACACAUCCCUCAUACCAUCCAAGAAAAAGGAAAGCUAUUCAAAGAAAAUCUACCACUGAAAGGUGAAGUUACAAAUGUCAUGGAGCUCUCGGGUGUCAAGAUUGUCUACGAGGACACACCAAACUAAAAGUAACAAUCAAGCCCGAUUUACUUACGGCAAUAGAGUAACACGAGAUCAAAAUAGAUGACUGCACCCCAGUGUUCCAUUUCUGCAUGUGCAACAGCAAAGCGAGGUUACAUGACAGGCUGUGCAGACAGGGGGCAUCAUCUAACUGCCAAGGAGCCACAAACAGAACAGAAGGCCCCUGCCUUUUUAUGGACACAAGGGACUUGGGAAAUAGGGGAGGGCCAAGAGUGGAAAAGUACUGGGGCAGAGUGGGGACAUGAAUCCUAAUCAAGACCCCCACUAAAGAGGUCUUGGCAGAGACACCUGAAAAGUGCCUCAGCCCGUUCCCCUACUAAACAGACUUUUGAAGGAAGCACCUAGGCUGGGAAUACAGAUGUGUAUGAGCAUGGCUGGCCUGAGGAAUCUUAAAGCCUUAAUUGUUAACUCCCUCCAGGAAUUCUAAUGCACGGGCUGUGCACAGAGUAUGUUCCCUAAGAUGAUAAUUUUUCCCAUGAGGCCUGCAAGGCAAAGCCUGUGCAAUUGCCUACUGAAAUGUCACCCCGGGAAUGUUGGCCUGGAACUGGACUCCUCAAACCCUAGUGUAGAAUGCAAAAAUAUAUUCCAUACUUCUGAAGACCUAUAACCUUCGCAAAUUGCAGAGCAGAAAUCUAUUUCAGUGAUGAAAAAUAGUAAAACAAAGUUCAAUUCUUCAUUCUAAUUUUCUACUUUAUAUAUUGGUGAAUUUAAUAUAAACAUAUUAAAGUGUUAUAUACUAUAAUUUCAGUGUCAUAGAAUGUGUGACUUCAGAUGCUAUAGGGUGUGACAUUUACAACGUAGACAAAAUUCUAUUUCAUCCUAUGAAUGCCUGCUUUCUUGGUUUGGAGUUCAUUGCAGGAAUGGGUAGUGCUUCUCUGAAAGAAAAACCGUAUGUUUUUUUGGAAGAUGCAUCAUUGUGAAGCUAGAAAAUAUUGACAGUGAUGCAGUUAUAUACUGGCAAUAAUGAGGAAUGCAGAAUUAUUAUUGAGCAGAAAGUCUUUGAAAUUAAUAAAUUGUUACUCAUUAAAGUGAAAUAUAAUAAAAUUUUACCAAAGUAAUUUUCUCUUCAUUAUGUAAAUAUUUCUGACCACAUUGAAAAGCAACAAAAAGCAAAACAAAACAAAAAACAAUCCUGUUCAGCUUUAAAGAAUAGAGAAGUUGU